UACGAAGGGGGCUAGCGUUGCUCGGAAUCACUGGGCGUAAAGCGCACGUAGGCGGACAUUUAAGUCAGGGGUGAAAUCCCGGGGCUCAACCCCGGAACUGCCUUUGAUACUGGGUGUCUUGAGUCCGGAAGAGGUGAGUGGAAUUGCGAGUGUAGAGGUGAAAUUCGUAGAUAUUCGCAGGAACACCAGUGGCGAAGGCGGCUCACUGGUCCGGUACUGACGCUGAGGUGCGAAAGCGUGGGGAGCAAACAGG
rnacentral:rRNA from 1 species